AGUGGGAUAGCUGGGUCAAAUGGUGAUUCCGUUCCAAGUUUUCUAAGGAAUCUUCAUACUGUUUUCCAGAGUGCUUGCAUCAAUCUGUAGUCCCACCAGCAAU
rnacentral:pre_miRNA from 1 species